GCCCUCCCGCGGCCCCUCCCCGUUCCUCUCCCAUUUCUCCCCGCUCCGGCGCCGGUUCCUCCCCGGUCCCUCCCCGUAACUCCCGGUCCCUGCCCGUUCCCUCCCCGGUCCGUCUCCUCUUCCUUCUCCCGCGUUCCCGUCCCCUUCUCUCCCGCUCCCUCCCCGCCGCGGGGGCUCCGCGGGGCUCUAAGUGCGCGGUUCCGGCGGCUCCGGGCGGCGGAGAGUAGUGAGAGCGAGUCUCUGCAGGUGUUGAGCUGCUUCUUGGAGUUCUCUGCAGGUGCAAAGCUGCUUCUCAAGAGUUUUCAGCAGGUGUGGAGCUGCUUCUCUGAGUCUCAGCAGAGCCCCGGUUGUACCAGGAAAUCUGUGAGAGAGGGCCGAACUCCAUCAGCCAUGAGUCAGAUGAGGAUUUGCUGGAGGAAUCCAUCCCAGAAGAGCCGUCCCCUCUGGAUUCUACUAUUGUGGUGCAGAGCUAUCGCCUGGCGCAGGUGACCUGGAGCCAGCUCCCAGAGGUGCUGGAAGCAGGCAUCCUGCCCAAGAUCUGCCCUGAAGAGCGCAAAAGGCAAGAGGCAAUGUUUGAGAUCAUCACCUCUGAGUACUCCUACAUGCACAGCCUGAGCGUCCUGGUGUGCUGCUUCAUGAGCUGGUCAAGAACUGCAAUGAGGGAGCCCGUGCCAUGGAGAGGACAGAGCAGAUGUACACCCUGCGAAAACAGCUGGAAUUCGGAAAGAAGAAGGAGGCACAGUGAAAUUCCCGGAGUUCUCAGGCUGUAUAAGAUUCAUCUUCCACAUGUGCUUGGAGGGGGGCAGCAGAAGAGAUGGACACUCAAUACAUGCGGUCAACCCUUGGCCACUGCAAGCAGCCGGGGGAGAGCACUCAGAAUGUGGUUUUUUUUAACAGAAGUUGUUUGCGCACCACUAAGAGAACAUAAUAAAGUUUUACGCUGUGUGAUAGGUAAUCAGGGAUGAGGAUGAUGUUGUCCAUGUGCCAGACAGACUUCAGCAACAUCAUGAAAAUAAUGAAAGAAUUAUGUCUGGUCCUGAUGGAGUUUAAUUGAAUCUGUAUGUAACGUUGCAAUUUUUUCGCUAAUUCUUAUUUCUUCAUCAAUGGUAUUUUUAUUUUUUGUGUUAAUUGGGUUAACAUCCCUGUAAAGAAAUAAUGUUUAGGGCGGUAGGGAAGGCCCAAAAUUUGCGUAAUUAAAGUCAUGUGCUGUGUGAUUGGUCACCAGGGAUGAGGAGGAUGCUGUGUAGGUGCCUAAACGGCCCUGACUGCCCCUUCCAAGUCUUUGAUGACAUCAGGAAAAUAAUAAACGAGUUGUCUACUUGUCCUUGACUGAAUUUAUUUUCACCUGUAUGUAACUUUGCAAUUUUUUUCCCUAAUUCUCAUUUUAUUUCUUCCUCAAUGGUAUUAUAUUUUUUUUUUUGCGUUAAUCAUGUAAUAGCCCGGUAAAUAAAUAAUGAUUAUGG